UUGGAAAUUGGUAACCCAUAUUGUUUAUCUGUUGGAAUAACUCCAUAGGGAGGAAUACUCAAAGAGGAACACAUGCUCAAUUUUUUUUAUGAACGAUGGUAUUUACAACCUGGUAAUAUUCAAGAAAUAUAAUUAAAUAUCUUGUCGAUUCUGGAAUUCUCAACUCUAAGUGGGAGGACUAUAUUAUUGCUACUUGGAUUAUUUAUUUUUUCUCUAGCACUCCCGCUAAAGGUCAUAUUUUAAUUUUUUUAUCUGCUUCGUCGAUGCAUUUUAUCUGGUUAUGAGUAUCUUAUAAAAUACAAGUUGUGAGGUUUAUUAUGUGUUCGUAACAUUUUAUACUGAAGUGGAACAUCAGUUUCUUAAGAGAUUUAAAUACUGAUUGGUGGGGGAAGUACACACUUCAGAAUAUUAAUUGAAACUUAUGGAAUG
rnacentral:lncRNA from 1 species